GACGAGCCGUGCGAACGUUGUUCGGAAUCGCUGGGCUUAAAGGGCGCGUAGGCGGGUUCGCAAGUCUGUGGUGAAAGCCUCCAGCUUAACUGGAGAAGUGCCAUGGAUACUGCGAGCCUCGAGGAGGGUAGGGGCAUCUGGAACAGUAGGUGGAGCGGUGAAAUGCGUUGAUAUCUACUGGAACUCCGGUGGCGAAGGCGAGGUGCUGGACCCUUUCUGACGCUGAGGCGCGAAAGCCAGGGGAGCGAACGGG
rnacentral:rRNA from 1 species